UCCAAAUACAUAGAAAAUUAUCGAAUGCGAUUCGUAGAACUUUUUCAUUCAUAGGUCUCUUAUGUUUUAUAGUCAAAUUCGAAAAUGGAAAAAUUGAAAAUUGUGAUUAUUUAUUUUGGCUUUUCGAUUCUUUAUUUAACUUCAUAUGUAAAUGGCCAACAUACAUGUGUGAAAUGUGGGAUCUUAGAAAAUUGUAGAGUAAACGAUACUUUUAUGUGGAGCAACAAGUAUGACUCGCUAAAAAUAGAUUGGAAGGAACCUGGAGAAUAUACGGACCCUAGAAUCGAUGCGUGCUUGAAUCCCGGUAUGAAAAUAAAAGGUAAACUAACGGAUGUGUUAUGUUCUGGUAGUGCUGAUAGAAAAUGUCACGUAAUUCGUCCAAAAUAUAAAUAUGCGAAUCCAAUAAAACUGUGCGCUGCAUGCGGAUACAUAUGCGGCUGCAGAGUUAAUCUAAUGGAUGCUCUAGAUGUAGGAAAGCGUGUUAUUGUGAAUUUCGUACUUAUAUUAUCAUGUUUGCUGGCAUUUUUCAUUAUGACCAUCUGAAAUAUGACAUUAUAUAAAUGUAAUAAAAUAUGUAUAUGU